rnacentral:rRNA from 1 species
GAUGAACGCUGGCGGCGUGCCUAAUACAUGCAAGUCGAGCGAACAGACGAGGAGCUUGCUCCUCUGACGUUAGCGGCGGACGGGUGAGUAACACGUGGAUAACCUACCUAUAAGACUGGGAUAACUUCGGGAAACCGGAGCUAAUACCGGAUAAUAUUUUGAACCGCAUGGUUCAAUAGUGAAAGACGGUUUUGCUGUCACUUAUAGAUGGAUCCGCGCCGCAUUAGCUAGUUGGUAAGGUAACGGCUUACCAAGGCAACGAUGCGUAGCCGACCUGAGAGGGUGAUCGGCCACACUGGAACUGAGACACGGUACAGACUCCUACGGGAGGCAGCAGUAGGGAAUCUUCCGCAAUGGGCGAAAGCCUGACGGAGCAACGCCGCGUGAGUGAUGAAGGUCUUCGGAUCGUAAAACUCUGUUAUUAGGGAAGAACAAAUGUGUAAGUAACUAUGCACGUCUUGACGGUACCUAAUCAGAAAGCCACGGCUAACUACGUG